CUCCAACGGGAUCGUCUUCCCCAUAUGACUUACUAAAUCCAUCGUAUCCUGAUCAUCAUCACCCAACAAGUCAUCUGCCUCUAUAUCCAGAUCGAAGGGAUCCCAUCCAGACGACACCGCCUCCCGGCUACCGAUAGGCUUCCGCAUCUUCCUCCGUCCAUUCGAGAUCAAUCUUAGCCAGGUCAUCGAGAUUCUUCUCCCAUUCCAUUGCAUCUCUCUCGACGUCCUCAAGAUAGUCAUCGGCUCCUUCUUCGUUGAUCGCCGAUAUUUCCUGCGGUGGAGUUAGAUUUGGUAACAAGGGUUCUCUUAAUUCGAUCUCUGGUGAUGGAAUAGUAGGUCUCGAAACUUCAAUCUGGAACUGGUUGGUGAAUUUGUCUUCAAGGGGAGUUUCGUGCAUCUCUGAUUCUUCCUCCUCAAAAGUCUAUUCAUACCAACUUUUCUUGAUUUUCACCAUUAAGGUAGGGGGCAGAGUCGAUAUGGUUUCCACUGUGGAAUUAAUUAGACUCGGAGAUGGAUCACUCAAAUCAAACUGUUGAGACGAAAGGGUCUCUCUCUUACAGGAUUUGGAGAUAUGACAACUUUUUUAGCUCAAAAGGUCGCGACCUGAGGGUCGGAGAUUGUUGUUUGAAAGUCCGACUGGUUGGUGGUUGUAGGUCUGAUAGCUACACGGGAACUGGGAUUCGCACAAGAAGAGGGUAGUUCUUUGUCCUCACUCUGUGGAACACUGAUUUGUUUCUCCAGCCCAAAGAGAGAUGUACACGCGAGCUUUUAUCGUGGUAUGAGUGAUCACGUGGAGCACCGUUUCUAUAGUGCUUUUCUGAUUGCUUCAGAGUAUCACCACCAGACUGUCAUGGUACAGGGACCUUACGCUGGGAAGGGGGACGAUAUGGAUUAGAGCUUGCCUUCUCCAAUCUGUUCCACACCGGCUUUCUACCAUGGGAGACAACCUUCUUUCCCUCAGCCUUUUCAAGCCGAUAACCAUCAAAGAAACUAUCCUGGGCCUCAGGACUGACAAGGUCAGGCCUCUCCUACUGCCAGCCUCAGUUUGGGCAACUUCCCUAUGGUUUUUUAGUCUCCCACUCUCUGACUGGGAGCUCUCUUCAAUCGUUUUCACCAGUAGUCUCCCAUUUUUGCUAGAUUGAAUGGGGUCAGAGUUCAGUGGGCACGACUCUUGCUCAUGACAGAUGAGGUGGCAAAGCUUGCACCACCUGUAUAGCUUCUCAUAUACCAUGGAGACCCAGACUACAUCCCCCGAAGGAAGUUGAGUUUUCUUUCUGAAUCUUAGAGGUUCAUCUCCCCUGACAGUUACUUGGAUUCUUCCCAUUGGAGCGUCCACUGCUCGGCAGAUGCCAAAUGAAUCUCCAAAGUUACGCAGGGUUGACUCCACCCAGUAUAGGUUGGGAAUACCUUCAGUUUGGAUCCAGAAGGUUAUGGUAUUUGGGAAGGAAUCACCAAUAUGGGGUUCCCAUCGCUCAAGAGAGAAAGACCACCCGUUGAAAUGGCAUGGCCUCUUGUUCAAAAUCUUGUGCAGGUCACGUUCUAAUUCAAAGUCAAACUGAAAC